UCUGGGACAAGCCCUGGACCCUUUUGUCUAAUACCGGAUAACACUCGCCGAGGCAUCUCGGUGGGUUGAAAGCUCCGGCGGUGAAGGAUGAGCCCGCGGCCUAUCAGCUUGUUGGUGAGGUAGAAGCUCACCAAGGCGACGACGGGUAGCCGGCCUGAGAGGGCGACCGGCCACACUGGGACUGAGACACGGCCCAGACUCCUACGGGAGGCAGCAGUGGGGAAUAUUGCACAAUGGGCGAAAGCCUGAUGCAGCGACGCCGCGUGAGGGAUGACGGCCUUCGGGUUGUAAACCUCUUUCAGCAGGGAAGAAGCGAAAGUGACGGUACCUGCAGAAGAAGCGCCGGCUAACUACGUGCCAGCAGCCGCGGUAAUACGUAGGGCGCAAGCGUUGUCCGGAAUUAUUGGGCGUAAAGAGCUCGUAGGCGGUCUGUCACGUCGGAUGUGAAAGCCCGGGGCUUAACCCCGGGUCUGCAUUCGAUACGGGCAGACUAGAGUGUGGUAGGGGAGAUCGGAAUUCCUGGUGUAGCGGUGAAAUGCGCAGAUAUCAGGAGGAACACCGGUGGCGAAGGCGGAUCUCUGGGCCAUUACUGACGCUGAGGAGCGAAAGCGUGGGGAGCGAACAGGAUUAGAUACCCUGGUAGUCCACGCCGUAAACGGUGGGAACUAGGUGUUGGCGACAUUCCACGUCGUCGGUGCCGCAGCUAACGCAUUAAGUUCCCCGCCUGG
rnacentral:rRNA from 1 species